CGCCUGCCCUGUGACAUUAAUUUAACGGCCGCGGUAUCCUGACCGUGCAAAGGUAGCGUAAUCACCUGUCUUUUAAAUGAAGACCUGUAUGAAAGGCAUCACGAGACUUUACCUGUCUCCCUUCUUCAAUCAGUGAAAUUGAUCUGCCCGUGGAGAAGCGGGCAUAUGUACAUAAGACGAGAAGACCCUAUGGAGCUUUAAAUAAUAUAUUAAUAAAUGAAUUUACAACCCUCAGGGGAUAAGAAACGGACUUAGCAUAAUAAAAUUAUUUUUGGUUGGGGCAACCACGGGGUAUAACACAACCCCCGUAUCGAUUGGGCAAAAUGCCUAAAAAAUAGAACGACAGUUCUUUUUAAUAAAAUAUUUAACGAGUAACGACCCAGAGAAAUCUGAUUAAUGAACCAAGUUACCCUAGGGAUAACAGCGCAAUCCUUUCCCAGAGUCCCUAUCGACGAAAGGGUUUACGACCUCGAUGUUGGAUCAGGACAUCCUAAUGGUGCAACCGCUAUUAAGGGUUCGUUUGUUCAACGAUUA
rnacentral:rRNA from 1 species